rnacentral:rRNA from 1 species
GAGAAUCUGUGGAAAGAGGAUUCGUCCAAUUGAAGCAGAGGACAGUGGCGGACGGGUGAGUAACGCGUGAGGAACCUGCCUUUCAGAGGGGGACAACAGUUGGAAACGACUGCUAAUACCGCAUGACACAUAGGUGUCGCAUGGCACUUAUGUCAAAGAUUUAUCGCUGAAAGAUGGCCUCGCGUCUGAUUAGCUAGUUGGUGAGGUAACGGCCCACCAAGGCGACGAUCAGUAGCCGGACUGAGAGGUUGAACGGCCACAUUGGGACUGAGAUACGGCCCAGACUCCUACGGGAGGCAGCAGUGGGGAAUAUUGGGCAAUGGGCGCAAGCCUGACCCAGCAACGCCGCGUGAAGGAAGAAGGCUUUCGGGUUGUAAACUUCUUUUGUCAGGGACGAGUAGAAGACGGUACCUGACGAAUAAGCCACGGCUAACUACGUGCCAGCAGCCGCGGUAAUACGUAGGUGGCAAGCGUUGUCCGGAUUUACUGGGUGUAAAGGGCGUGUAGCCGGGAGGGCAAGUCAGAUGUGAAAUCCACGGGCUCAACUCGUGAACUGCAUUUGAAACUACUCUUCUUGAGUAUCGGAGAGGCAAUCGGAAUUCCUAGUGUAGCGGUGAAAUGCGUAGAUAUUAGGAGGAACACCAGUGGCGAAGGCGGAUUGCUGGACGACAACUGACGGUGAGGCGCGAAAAGCGUGGGGAGCAAACAGGAUUAGAUACCCUG